rnacentral:rRNA from 1 species
AAUAAUGGACAAUGGGGGCAACUAUGAUCCAGCCAUGCCGCGUGUGUGAAGACGGUCAUCGGAUUGUAAAGCACUUUAAGUUGGGACGAAGGACCUUAGGAUAAUACACUGAAGUAUUGACGUUACCAACAGAAUAUGCCCCGGCUAACUCUGGGCCAGCAGCCGCGGUAAUACAGAGGGUGCAAGCGUUAAUCGGAAUUACUGGGCGUAAAGCGCGCGUAGGUGGUUCAGUAAGAUGGGUGUGAAAUCCCCGUGCUUAACCUGGGAACUGCUUUCAUAACUGCUGAGCUAGAGUACGGUAGAGGGUAGUGGAAUUUCCUGUGUAGCGGUGAAAUGCGUAGAUAUAGGAAGGAACACCAGUGGCGAAGGCGACUACCUGGACUGAUACUGACACUGAGGUGCGAAAGCGUGGGGAGCAAAC